rnacentral:lncRNA from 1 species
AAAAACUAUUUUCAAGUAGAUAAUUUUAUUAAUUGUAUUCUACAUUACAUAUUGUAUACUACCCAUCUUGAUUAUGGUGUAUGCUUCCAUCAAAUUUCUAUUUUUGUAUAUUUCAUUUAUCUUUUCUACCUUCAGGAGGAGGCCUUUCCUAGUCUUGUAAUGAGAGGAUGCCCCUUUCCUUUGAAGAUUAUCUUCCAUCAACUCUGCAUAUAUCUUGUACAUAGAUAACUAUUUGUAUGCUAACUGUACAUUAGAAUAUGCAGUUAGUGGAGGCAACUCCCUUUCUCGCCUCCUUGCACUAGAAAAGGCAUCAUUUGACCAUUUAUGAUUCCAGUCAGCCAUCUUGGAAUCAUGAAUACAAAACCCAUGAGUGCUCCUUGUGGGGCAAGAAAAAUGAAAACAAUUAUACAUGUGAAAUCAUUCUUCCAUACUGACUAUAUUACACAAAAAAGAAGAAAUAAAGCAAGCAAGAAAAUUACACUGUAGCUUAUAGUCAGAGUUCAUUAUUUCUUUCAUUGAAAGUGA